UCCGUAGGCGGACUAAUAAGUCAAGGGUGAAAUCCAACAGCUUAACUGUUGAACUGCCUUUGAUACUGUUAGUCUUGAAUUAUAUGGAAGUAGAUAGAAUGUGUAGUGUAGCGGUGAAAUGCUUAGAGAUUACACAGAAUACCGAUUGCGAAGGCAGUCUACUACGUAUAUAUUGACGCUAAUGGACGAAAGCGUGGGGAGCGAACAGGAUUAGAUACCCUGGUAGUCC
rnacentral:rRNA from 1 species